rnacentral:lncRNA from 1 species
AGCUCUGUGUGUGUUAAAGAAAAAAACUACACUGCUGAUCAUAACAUGCAGGAGCUAAUCUAGGUAAGCAGUUAAGCAAUUAAGUUUGGACCACACCCAGUGAGGUGUGGCUGUUUGUGUAUUAGCUUCUGCUCCUGCUUUUGGUUUCGCUUUUGCUUUUGGAUCUCUCUCUUUUGGAAGAAGAGGCUGAAGAAGCCAUGCUCUUUGUAUUGCAAUGCUUCUUGGAUCUUGAAAUGCUUACAAGGGCUAUGUGCAGUUGUGAAAAUACCUUUACAUAUUUAUGGAAGAAUACUAAAAAUGUAAGUAAAAUGACUACACAUGCUGUUAAAAAUUAAAAGAAAAAUCACAACUGACUAUUGUUAAACACUACCUGCGUGCCAUUACAAUUUCAUUCUGAUCUUUUUAAAAAGCAGCACAUUAUUCCUUAGAAAUAUUUUUACAUGAAUAUUUUAACUGCAGGUUAAAAGAAGAAAAGUGGGGGGAAAGGAGAGAUCUAGCUAAAGAAAGACACCAAUCCUUUUUAAAGGUUAUCUUCUAUUAAAUGUUCAAAAUAAAAUACAACCUGCAGACUGUUUCACUUACUACAGAUGAGAUCCACAAAACUGGGCUAGCAAAAUGGGUGGAUUAAACUGUUUUGGAUCCAAAGAGACUCAACAUGGAUCUUUCUGGACACAGCCCUGGUGUGUCCCCUGCUUUUGGAGCACUGUUUUAAGGAAAUUGUAGCAGGAAGGCAGGGCAUACAAGUCUGUAAAGAAUACCAUGUGUAGCCCUUUGGACCCUACCUUUUCAGUUAAAUGCAUCGCCUUAAUUUAUUUGUGAACGACAUUUUC